CCUGGCGGCUUUAGCGCGGUGGUCCCACCUGACCCCAUGCCGAACUCAGAAGUGAAACGCCGUAGCGCCGAUGGUAGUGUGGGGUCUCCC
rnacentral:rRNA from 3 species